AGCAGAAUACACCAAGACGCCCCCCUCGCAUGGAUGUGUCAAUGAUCACCCCAGAAUCCGCCACAAGCUGGGGUCCCUCAUAGAGCUUCACCCUGUCCAGGAUUCCAGGAUAGGAGUAUCCAUUGGUGCUAGGGUGCCAGUGGGCACUGUGCCACCAUGCCUGGGGCCUUGCUUUUCCCCAGCCCCCCUUGAGCUCACCAGGCCUGAGAGAGAAGGGAGGGAGGGAAAGGGAGGCAGGAAGGAGAGGGAAGGGGGGUGCUUUUCUCAGGCCUGGGGCCCCUAGCUCUUUGUCCAGCUCCUUUUGCAUCUCAAAGCACCAGCCGCAUUCCAAGCGAGGAUUGGGUUGCCAUGACAAUAAGCACAAUGGGCUGGGGGGUGAAGUCACCCGCUUCCCAGGCUCUAGUCCACCCCCUUUUAUCCCCUGUCCUGGCACCCCACAGCCCCAGGCACCUUAAAGGGGAACCAACCCAGGUUCCUGGACUCUGGGCUCUUGGCCAUGGAAAGUCCAGCCUCUAAGCAGACCCAUUUCCCCUCCCUUCCUGUUCAUCUCCACCAACUAGGGCUACUUGUUGGAGAGAAAUGCAAAGUUGUGGACAAAGUGUUGAACCGAGGCCUGUGAAGUCAGGGCCUUGAUUUUCUCUUCUGUAAAUGAUGAUGCCUUCCAGGUCAGAUGAUCCCUAUCCACGUUGAUAAGACAGGUUCCAGGUCAUACCAACUAAGGGACCAGAUGUGAUGUGCCCCUUCACAGAUUGGCCUGGGUUUGGAGGCUUCUGGAGAACUGUAAAGGGCAUCUAACCCAAUGCCCUCAUUUUACAGACGGGAAAAUGGGUCAUGGAGGAGUGACUUCACCAACAUCACUCAUAGGUGCUUGUGUCCGUGGUGAGAAGGGUGAUGGAGAGAAGUGGCUGCAGUUCCCACCCAUGGAGAGGUCACUGGUGAAUCCCAGCUAAAGAGGAAGGACAGGCCCGGCCUGAGUCCCACAGGGCUUGCUGCCUCCACCUGGGCAAAGGCAACACCAGUCUAACGUGCUCUGGGUCCGCAGGCUUACCAUCUGAGUCCUUCUGAUUGGGAUUGGGUACCAGGCGGCAGUUAUCGGGACCAGGAGGCACAUAAUCUGGGAUGCCAUCAUUGUCAUCAUCCCCAUCACACUCAUCUCCAAGUCCAUCGUUAUCAGAGUCCAGCUGGGAGCUAUUUGGCAGCUGUGGGCAGUUGUCCUUGGUGUCCUGAUGCCCAUCCCCAUCGCUAAUCAGAAGAACAGGUUGGUGAAAGUCCCGAACUUUGUCUCCCCACCCAGAGGACAACUGGCCAGGAAAUCUGCCUGUUUCUUGUCUCACCCUCUAGUCCACACUCUGCCUAACACUACGCCCUACCUCACAUUCCUAUUGACAUCUGCUGCAGGUAAUCUCUCCUCACCCAGGCCAACGUCCACAAGCCUGCCUCCCUAUUUCACAGAGACUUCCUAGCUUCCCUGCUUCAUCCCCACCUGAUCCAAAUUCUCACAGGUCCCCCAGCCACCCCUUCAGCCCCAGGCCUGCACCAUCCCCAUCCACGUCGUUGUCACAGGCAUCUCCUUCCCCAUUGCCAUCUGUGUCCUUCUGGUCAUUGUUGGGAACGUUGGGGCAAUUGUCACAGGCAUCACCAAAUGAAUCUGUAUCUGA
rnacentral:lncRNA from 1 species